rnacentral:rRNA from 1 species
UGUGACGGCCACAGUGGUGGGGAAACACCCGGUCUCAUUCCGAACCCGACGGUAAAGUCCACCACGUUUCGUAUGCGUACUGUCUUCCGCGAGGGGAUGGGAACUACGAUUCGCUGUCAUAC